rnacentral:rRNA from 1 species
UACGAAGGGGGCUAGCGUUGCUCGGAAUGACUGGGCGUAAAGGGCGCGUAGGUGGUUGUUUAAGUGAGAUGUGAAAUCCCUGGGCUUAACCUAGGAACUGCAUCUUAUACUGGGCAACUGGAGUACUGUAGAGGGUAGUGGAAUUUCCGGUGUAGCGGUGAAAUUCGUAGAUAUCGGGAGGAACACCGGUGGCGAAGGCGGCGACCUGGGUAGAUACUGACGCUGAGGUGCGAAAGCGUGGGGAGCGAUCCGG